AGAGCAGGAUGCAGCCAAGGAUGACUUGCCGGAGCUGGCUGGCUACCACAGCAUGCAGUACUGUCGCUGGCCGGCGAGGCUGGCCGGAGACUGGCUGUGUCAUCCGCCGGCAAGUUUGUCCUUGGCUACACCUUGCUCUCU
rnacentral:pre_miRNA from 1 species